rnacentral:rRNA from 1 species
AAAUUGAAGAGUUUGAUCAUGGCUCAGAUUGAACGCUGGCGGCAGGCCUAACACAUGCAAGUCGAACGGUAACAGGAAGAAGCUUGCUUCUUUGCUGACGAGUGGCGGACGGGUGAGUAAUGUCUGGGAAACUGCCUGAUGGAGGGGGAUAACUACUGGAAACGGUAGCUAAUACCGCAUAACGUCGCAAGACCAAAGAGGGGGACCUUCGGGCCUCUUGCCAUCGGAUGUGCCCAGAUGGGAUUAGCUAGUAGGUGGGGUAACGGCUCACCUAGGCGACGAUCCCUAGCUGGUCUGAGAGGAUGACCAGCCACACUGGAACUGAGACACGGUCCAGACUCCUACGGGGAGGCAGCAGUGGGGAAUAUUGCACAAUGGGCGCAAGCCUGAUGCAGCCAUGCCGCGUGUAUGAAGAAGGCCUUCGGGUUGUAAAGUACUUUCAGCGGGGAGGAAGGGAGUAAAGUUAAUACCUUUGCUCAUUGACGUUACCCGCAGAAGAAAGCACUCGGCUAACUCCGUGCCAGCAGCCGCGGUAAUACGGAGGGUGCAAGCGUUAAUCGGAAUUACUGGGCGUAAAGCGCACGCAGGCGGUUUGUUAAGUCAGAUGUGAAAUCCCCGGGCUCAACCUGGGAACUGCAUCUGAUACUGGCAAGCUUGAGUCUCGUAGAGGGGGUAGAAUUCCAGGUGUAGCGGUGAAAUGCGUAGAGAUCUGGAGGAAUACCGGUGGCGAAGGCGGCCCCCUGGACGAAGACUGACGCUCAGGUGCGAAAGCGUGGGGAGCAAACAGGAUUAGAUACCCUGGUAGUCCACGCCGUAAACGAUGUCGACUUGGAGGUUGUGCCCUUGAGGCGUGGCUUCCGGAGCUAACGCGUUAAGUCGACCGCCUGGGGAGUACGGCCGCAAGGUUAAAACUCAAAUGAAUUGACGGGGGCCCGCACAAGCGGUGGAGCAUGUGGUUUAAUUCGAUGCAACGCGAAGAACCUUACCUGGUCUUGACAUCCACAGAACUUUCCAGAGAUGGAUUGGUGCCUUCGGGAACUGUGAGACAGGUGCUGCAUGGCUGUCGUCAGCUCGUGUUGUGAAAUGUUGGGUUAAGUCCCGCAACGAGCGCAACCCUUAUCCUUUGUUGCCAGCGGUCCGGCCGGGAACUCAAAGGAGACUGCCAGUGAUAAACUGGAGGAAGGUGGGGAUGACGUCAAGUCAUCAUGGCCCUUACGACCAGGGGCUACACACGUGCUACAAUGGCGCAUACAAAGAGAAGCGACCUCGCGAGAGCAAGCGGACCUCAUAAAGUGCGUCGUAGUCCGGAUUGGAGUCUGCAACUCGACUCCAUGAAGUCGGAAUCGCUAGUAAUCGUGGAUCAGAAUGCCACGGUGAAUACGUUCCCGGGCCUUGUACACACCGCCCGUCACACCAUGGGAGUGAGUUGCAAAAGAAGUAGGUAGCUUAACCUUCGGGAGGGCGCUUACCACUUUGUGAUUCAUGACUGGGGUGAAGUCGUAACAAGGUAACCGUAGGGGAACCUGCGGUUGGAUCACCUCCUUA